GAGGCCGUAGCUCAGUUGGUUAGAGCAACGUAAUAUGCUUUAUUAAAUUUUAACCCUGAUGGGUGUGAUGAUAAAGUUACUUCGCUUCGUAAGCCGUGUGUCGCCGGUUCGAGUCCGGCCGGCCUUC
rnacentral:tRNA from 1 species